rnacentral:rRNA from 1 species
CGAGUUUGAUCCUGGCUCAGGACGAACGCUGGCGGCGCGCCUUACGCAUGCAAGUCGAACGGGGUUGGUCUUCGGACCGGCCCAGUGGCAGACGGGUGAGUAACACGUAAGCGACCUAUCCGUGAGUGGGGAAUAACUCCUCGAAAGGGGAGCUAAUACCGCAUGAGUUCAGCAAUGAAGAAAGCCCGUAAGGGCGCUGACGGAGGGGCUUGCGGCCCAUCAGCUAGUUGGUGAGGUAACGGCUUACCAAGGCGACGACGGGUAGCUGGUCUGAGAGGACGGCCAGCCACAAGGGCACUGAGACACGGGCCCUACUCCUACGGGAGGCAGCAGCGAGGAAUCUUGGUCAAUGGGGGAAACCCUGAACCAGCGACGCCGCGUGGAGGACGAAGGCUCUCGGGUCGUAAACUCCUUUUGUCGGGGACGAGUAGAAGACGGUACCCGGCGAAUAAGCCACGGCUAACUACGUGCCAGCAGCCGCGGUAAUACGUAGGUGGCGAGCGUUGUCCGGAUUUACUGGGCGUAAAGCGCGCGUAGGCGGCCUGUUAAGUUCUGUGUGAAAGGUUUCGGCUCAACCGGAACAGUGCAUGGGAUACUGGCGGGCUUGAGGGCAGCAGAGGUCGGUGGAAUUCCCGGUGGAGUGGUGAAAUGCGUAGAUAUCAGGAGGAACACCGGUGGUGUAGACGGCUUUCUGGACCGUAACUGACGCUGAGACACGAAAGCGUGGGUAGCAAACAGGAUUAGAUACCCUGGUAGUCCACGCCCUAAACGAUGCAUAUUUGGUGUGGGCAGUUCAUUCUGUCCGUGCCGGAGCUAACGCGUUAAAUAUGCCGCCUGGGGACUACAGUCGCAAGGCUGAAACUCAAAGGAAUUGACGGGGGCCCGCACAAGCGGUGGAGCAUGUGGUUCAAUUCGACGCAACGCGAAGAACCUUACCUGGGCUCGAACGGCUUCUCAACGGCUGUGGAAACAUGGCUACCCCGCAAGGGGGUGGAGUCGAGGUGCUGCAUGGCUGUCGUCAGCUCGUGUCGUGAGAUGUUGGGUUAAGUCCCGCAACGAGCGCAACCCCUGUCCUGUGUUGCCAUCAUUCAGUUGGGAACUCGCAGGAGACCGCCAGCGAUAAGCUGGAGGAAGGUGGGGAUGACGUCAAGUCCUCAUGGCCUUUAUGUCCAGGGCUACACACGUGCUACAAUGGACGGUACAAACCGCAGCAAACCCGCGAGGGGGAGCCAAUCGGAAAAAACCGUUCUCAGUUCGGAUUGCAGGCUGCAACUCGCCUGCAUGAAGCUGGAAUCGCUAGUAAUGGCAGAUCAGCACGCUGCCGUGAAUACGUUCCCGGGCCUUGUACACACCGCCCGUCACAUCACGAAAGUGGAUUGUACUAGAAGUCUGCAGGCUGACCCGCAAGGGGGGCAGCGGCCCAAGGUAUGAUCCAUGAUUGGGGUG